GUUUGCUUCAGCAGUACAUAUGCUAAAAUUGGAACGAUACAGAGAAGAUUAGCAUUGGCCCCUGUGCGAGGAUGACAUGCAAAUUAGUGAAGUGUUCCAUAUUUUA